rnacentral:rRNA from 1 species
AGAGUUUGAUCAUGGCUCAGAUUGAACGCUGGCGGCAGGCCUAACACAUGCAAGUCGAACGGUAACAGGAAGAAGCUUGCUUCUUUGCUGACGAGUGGCGGACGGGUGAGUAAUGUCUGGGAAACUGCCUGAUGGAGGGGGAUAACUACUGGAAACGGUAGCUAAUACCGCAUAACGUCGCAAGACCAAAGAGGGGGACCUUCGGGCCUCUUGCCAUCGGAUGUGCCCAGAUGGGAUUAGCUAGUAGGUGGGGUAACGGCUCACCUAGGCGACGAUCCCUAGCUGGUCUGAGAGGAUGACCAGCCACACUGGAACUGAGACACGGUCCAGACUCCUACGGGAGGCAGCAGUGGGGAAUAUUGCACAAUGGGCGCAAGCCUGAUGCAGCCAUGCCGCGUGUAUGAAGAAGGCCUUCGGGUUGUAAAGUACUUUCAGCGGGGAGGAAGGGAGUAAAGUUAAUACCUUUGCUCAUUGACGUUACCCGCAGAAGAAGCACCGGCUAACUCCGUGCCAGCAGCCGCGGUAAUACGGAGGGUGCAAGCGUUAAUCGGAAUUACUGGGCGUAAAGCGCACGCAGGCGGUUUGUUAAGUCAGAUGUGAAAUCCCCGGGCUCAACCUGGGAACUGCAUCUGAUACUGGCAAGCUUGAGUCUCGUAGAGGGGGGUAGAAUUCCAGGUGUAGCGGUGAAAUGCGUAGAGAUCUGGAGGAAAACCGGUGGCGAAGGCGGCCCCCUGGACGAAGACUGACGCUCAGGUGCGAAAGCGUGGGGAGCAAACAGGAUUAGAUACCCUGGUAGUCCACGCCGUAAACGAUGUCGACUUGGAGGUUGUGCCCUUGAGGCGUGGCUUCCGGAGCUAACGCGUUAAGUCGACCGCCUGGGGAGUACGGCCGCAAGGUUAAAACUCAAAUGAAUUGACGGGGGCCCGCACAAGCGGUGGAGCAUGUGGUUUAAUUCGAUGCAACGCGAAGAACCUUACCUGGUCUUGACAUCCACGGAAGUUUUCAGAGAUGAGAAUGUGCCUUCGGGAACCGUGAGACAGGUGCUGCAUGGCUGUCGUCAGCUCGUGUUGUGAAAUGUUGGGUUAAGUCCCGCAACGAGCGCAACCCUUAUCCUUUGUUGCCAGCGGUCCGGCCGGGAACUCAAAGGAGACUGCCAGUGAUAAACUGGAGGAAGGUGGGGAUGACGUCAAGUCAUCAUGGCCCUUACGACCAGGGCUACACACGUGCUACAAUGGCGCAUACAAAGAGAAGCGACCUCGCGAGAGCAAGCGGACCUCAUAAAGUGCGUCGUAGUCCGGAUUGGAGUCUGCAACUCGACUCCAUGAAGUCGGAAUCGCUAGUAAUCGUGGAUCAGAAUGCCACGGUGAAUACGUUCCCGGGCCUUGUACACACCGCCCGUCACACCAUGGGAGUGGGUUGCAAAAGAAGUAGGUAGCUUAACCUUCGGGAGGGCGCUUACCACUUUGUGAUUCAUGACUGGGGUGAAGUCGUAACAAGGUAACCGUAGGGGAACCUGCGGUUG